ACAGUCCGUACGCUCUGAUCGUGAGGCGAUACCUGUCUCUGCUGGAUGCUGCUGUGGAGCUGGAGUUCAGGGACUACAGUGGACCCCGACUGCAGGACUCACACAAGGUCCUGAUGUUUGACCACGCCCUGACUGCUGACGAGGUCAACCGCAAGUACAGUUAUAAAGGUCUGGUGGCCGAGGCUCUGAGACAGCUGGUGGGAGAACACAACUACAAACAGGACGAAGUACUUCCCCCUGGGUACUACACAGAUUUUGUGUUGUGGAUCGACAGUUCUGGUCGGGUUCUGCCCAUCAGGACUGGAGCAGGUUUAUCUCUGACCGUUGUCCCGCCGUCCUGCGUUGCUGUGGCAGCUAAGCCUGCAGAUGGGUCUGUUGCCAUAAUGACCUCAGAGUUCCAGAAAUUCUCUCCGUUUGCUGCUCUGGUGGAGGGGGCAGAGCAGCCAGGUCAGGGGGGCGAGGCAAUGGGCGUGAACAUAGAGUCCAGAUCCUUCCUGCCCCACCACAUCCGCAGCACCACAGGGGCCACAGCAGCCCCUGGGCCCCAGCGGUUAGGUAGUAAUGGGGGCUCCCUGGAUUACGGCCCCUACUACGGCCCCCCUGCAGAGUUCUACUCGGGUCUGCCCAAGGAGCACUCUCUGGAGAGCCAGGACAGCUCCACACUCAGCAGCCCCCCUUCCGACAGCCUGGCACAGCCAGGGGCUCCUGGACCUGCAGGGGCACCAGCACCGGACUCACUCUUCCAGUUUUCAAUUGGGAAGAUCCUCGAGGACAAGGGGGGGGCAGGGACCCAGGGGGGCAAGGGGAUAGACUGCGAGCUGCCUGGAUUCUACGAGGGAGCAACAUACCCCGAGGGGCCUGGGGCUGACAGAGAGCCCCCCUCACCCCCACAGCUCCAACCCCCUGAGAGGACCGAGUCAGAUGACCCCCCCACAGAACAGAGGGCCAUCAGGAGGGUCAUCAUGUCCGUCAACGACAAGUGGCACUACUGCCACAACUCCGAGGUCCUGGUGGGCUCCAGGGCCAUGAGGGACCGCCACCUGAGGCUGCUGGGAUACAUCAUCCUGCAGCUGCCAUACCACGAGCUGGAGAAACUGAACGGCAUCGAGGACGUGAAGCAGUACCUGCACAAGAAGCUUCUGGACGUCCCUCUAUGACGCUGUGUGUGUGUGUGUGUGUGUGUGUGUGUUUGAAUCUUGUUUAUUGGGCUGAACAUCCUGUCAGUCGUCCAUGAGGGCAGAGAGAGACACGUGUGUUCAGGUUACACUUGCAAUUAUCACUAAAUGAUUUGACUUCAUUUAAAGCAAAAGUUAGUGAGAGAUGAUUGACAGCUGACUCAAAGUCUAAAACAGGGGGAGUUAUCAGGUGGAGUGAUCAGGUGGAGUGUCAGGUGGAGUGAUCAGGUGGAGUGUCAGGUGGAGUGAUCAGGUGGAGUGAUCAGGUGGAGUGAUCAGGUGGAGUGUCAGGUGGAGUGUCAGGUGGAGUGAUCAGGUGGAGUGUCAGGUGGAGUGUCAGGUGGAGUGUCAGGUGGAGUGAUCAGGUGGAGUGUCAGGUGGAGUGAUCAGGUGGAGUGUCAGGUGGAGUGUCAGGUGGAGUGUCAGGUGGAGUGAUCAGGUGGAGUGUCAGGUGGAGUGUCAGGUGGAGUGAUCAGGUGGAGUGUCAGGUGGAGUGUCAGGUGGAGUGUCAGGCUGCUGUCUUCUUAAUCAGAUGCUGAAAUCUGAAUUUCUAUAACGAUGAACUUUAACUGACAGAGUACAAAAUCCAUCAGGACCCGACCAUCUGAAGUCUGGGUUUCAGUCACAUGUUUGAUCCUGGAGGAGAAUUCAAGCUGUGAUCAGACUCUGAAGCACUCAAACGUCCUCACUCUGGAAAUGUUCGUUGAACGCAUCACGAGUGAGUUGUAGUCCUUGAACAUUGUUUUUGCUCAACGCAGGCUGAUUGGUCGCUGUGUGGAUGAGCAAACAUUAAUUCUUCUUUUGGGGCGGGUUGGAGUCUCUUUUUAUAAAGUUUGGUAACCAUGGUAACAACGA